UGUCCAAUUUGAUCAUUGCCUCCUCCGCGACUUUCUGCUCGGGCCGUGGAGAGAAGUUGGGAGUCUUUUUUGUGUUGUUGUGGGGGAUAGCUACCGAAUCAACCUUUUGUGUACACCUUUUCCCUCGGUCUUCGGCUGACUGGUCGUGGAGUGGAGUUUAGCCAUAGCCUGCUGGAUUGAAGUGAAGUUGUGCAAAAUUUUGUGCUCGUUCAGUUCAACUUGCAACUUUGUGUGCGAUUGUCGUUGCCGUAGUCUUCGUCGGUCGUUGUCUUGUAGUCUCGCGAUCGCUUUCUCGGAGUUACUCGGAUUACGGACAGAGCGGAGUUUUUUUUUUUUCGGGGACAUUGUCUUGUCGAAGAUUUUCAGAUUGUGAGAAAAGGUUCCAGUUUUUUUUCGAAUACUCCAUCCAAAAGUUCAGCCAGUGAUCCGAUCCGGAGUGUUGGGCUGGUGGUGUACGGACAGAAAACCGUGUGGAAUCGCGGCUCAAGAGGGUCCGACGUGAAGAAACAGUGAAACGGCAAACAACUAGUCUUUUUCUUAUUUUUUUUCCUUUCUUUUGUGUGUGAGAAUUGAAAGUGGAUCAAAAGUAGCUCCCCAGAGCCAGCAAUCAAAAGCUCUAGUGUGGCCAUUAUAGUGCAGUGCGGUAGCCAGCAGCUGUUAAAAGCUGGUGAAAGAAGGUGGUGGUGUGCGUCAAAAGCGAAGCGAAUAUCGACUGCCCCCCGGAGAGAAAUUGGUGUGAGCGAGAGAGGGGCCUCUGUGAUCCCCCGCCAGGUCGGUAUUGAGGAUCGGCAACGUGCAAUUUUUAGUGGAAUUAAUGGUUGCCGGGAAAUCGAUGAUCCAAACCGCCCCGGUCCGAAACUGACGGAUAGCUUAGCUGGCCUAGCAUAGAUAGAUAGAGAGAGGAAAACAAGCACCACACGCAUCAAAAGAAGUUCAGCCAGUGAUCCGAUCCGGAGUGUUGGGCUGGUGGUGUACGGACAGAAAACCGUGUGGAAUCGCGGCUCAAGAGGGUCCGACGUGAAGAAACAGUGAAACGGCAAACAACUAGUCUUUUUCUUAUUUUUUUUCCUUUCUUUUGUGUGUGAGAAUUGAAAGUGGAUCAAAAGUAGCUCCCCAGAGCCAGCAAUCAAAAGCUCUAGUGUGGCCAUUAUAGUGCAGUGCGGUAGCCAGCAGCUGUUAAAAGCUGGUGAAAGAAGGUGGUGGUGUGCGUCAAAAGCGAAGCGAAUAUCGACUGCCCCCCGGAGAGAAAUUGGUGUGAGCGAGAGAGGGGCCUCUGUGAUCCCCCGCCAGGUCGGUAUUGAGGAUCGGCAACGUGCAAUUUUUAGUGGAAUUAAUGGUUGCCGGGAAAUCGAUGAUCCAAACCGCCCCGGUCCGAAACUGACGGAUAGCUUAGCUGGCCUAGCAUAGAUAGAUAGAGAGAGGAAAACAAGCACCACACGCAUCAAAAG